UGUAUAUAUAUGUGUGUGUGUGUGUGUGUGUGUGUAUAUACAUACACACACACACACACACACACACAUAUAUAUAUA